UAUAUAUUUAGGGAGAGGGGGCUGUAUCUUAUAAUUAAUACAUUAAAAAAUGGAUAAAAAAACAACCCCUAGAAGGGUAAAUGGAGCAGCCACGUGUGCUGAAGGCGUGGUGCUUGUCUCCAUCGUUCAAAUAACAUAAUUGCUUCCCUUUUUAGCGUGACAACCACCUUUUUCCAUCCAGAUGUUCAGCCAAUGAGAGCACGCGCUGCUGACUCCACAGACGGACGGAGGCGGAGGCAGGAAUGCAGCAGGAUGCUCGUUAGAAUGGCUGUCAAACACUCUGACGUUUAGAUGUAGCACAACGAAAGCCUUUCUCAUGUAAAAUUUACGAGGACCAUCUCCACCAUGACUGCUGCAGCUGUCGCGGUUUGGCUCGGAACGGUUUACAUUGUGCAUGCCUAUGAUGCAACACGGAGCGCUUUACAUGAGAGAAAUGCCCGUUUGGAGCCAGCCGUGGCCUUGAGGCAGAAAACGGCGUUAUUUAAAGACGUGGUAACCAUCUUAUCGAGGUCCCAUGGAGACCGGAAUGUGUACCCGUCUGCUGGAGUACUGUUUGUCCAUGUUCUGGAGCGGGAGCACUUCAAAGGAGAGUUUCCCCCUUACCCCAAAUCAGGCGAUGCCAGCAAUGACCCCAUCACUUUCAACACCAACCUGAUGGGGUACCCGGAUAGGCCUGGGUGGCUGCGCUACAUCCAAAGGACUCCAUACGGUGAUGGCGUUCUCUACGGUUCUCCCACUGCUGAGCAUGUUGGCCGGCCCACUGUCAUAGAGAUUACUGCUUAUAACAGGCGCACGUUUGAGACCGCACGCCACAACUUGGUCAUAAACAUCAUGGCAACAGAAGAGUUCCCUCUGCCUUACCAAGCUGAGUUUUACAUCAAGAACAUGAACGUGGAGGAGAUGCUGGCCAGCGAGGUGCUCGGAGACUUCCUGGGCGCAGUGAAGAACGUAUGGCAGCCCGAGCGACUCAACGCCAUCAACAUUACCUCCGCCCUGGACCGCGGUGGCCGCGUACCCCUUCCCAUCAACAAUUUGAAGGAAGGCGUUUACGUGAUGGUCGGCGCCGACGUUCCCUUCUCUUCGUGCCUGAGGGAGGUGGAAAGCCCGCAUAACCAGCUGCGCUGCAGUCAGGAGAUGGAACCUGUCAUCAGCUGCGACAAGAAAUUCAGAGCUCAGUUUCACAUCGACUGGUGUAAAAUCUCCCUGGUUGACAUCAACAAAGUAGUCCCGGUCUACAUUACCCGCCCUGACCCCGGUACGGGGAUCCUGCCCGACUUUGGGGAGUACAACCCCCCAUCCGAGUCCCUGAAAAGCAGGGACUACUUUUCCGACUUCCUCGUCACCAUGGCGAUUCCCUCAGCUGUGGCGUUAGUCCUCUUCUUUAUCCUUGGCUACAUUAUGUGCUGCAGGCGGGAAGGGGUGGAAAAAAGAAACAUGCAAACAUCUGACAUCCAGCUGGUUCAUCACAGUGCCAUCCAGAAGUCCACGAAGGAGCUGCGGAGCAUGUCCAAGAACCGCGAGAUCUCCUGGCCCCUCUCCACCCUGCCCGUCUUCAACCCGGUCAGCGGCGAGGUGGUGCCACCCAUCCACCCGGACAACUACGAGACCACCAGCAUGCCGCUGAUGCAGACGCAGUCGAAUCUGCAAAACCAGAUAACCAUACCACAGCCACGGCCAUCAGGUUUUCAAGUGUAACAGGGAGAACGUGACAGACGAGGAAAGUUGGAUGAUCUUAUAGGGAGAGAAAAUAAAAUUGUACCUGGACUACAGAAAUAAAGAAGCAUAAUCUAAAGAUCUUACAACAAAGGAGAAGAUGGAGAGGGAGAGGAGCAGGUUGGAGAUCUUGGGAGGGAGGAGCAGCUCUCCUUUGCUCUCUGACAACACCUGACGCUUCUGCAGCACCAGGAUCUGAGGCCACAAGGCCAUUGUGCCGUAAAUGAUGACGAACCAGAAUGUGACCAGUGGAACAAAGUAAUAGAACUGAUACGGCCUGUCCAUCACAACACACAGCACCAACACCAGGAAGUUCAAACGGAACAACACCUGUGAAGGUACAAGAAAACUUACUGAUCACCUGAAGAGGACGUCUGAAACUCAAGUAGAGCUGGGUGUUAACUUACUUGGCACACUCUGUAGAGUCCAAAGUCUCCUUUCAGCCAGAAGAAGGAAAAAUGUCCAUAACCUGUCUGGAAUAGGUAAGCUGCCACCAGCACCCGCACAUGCAUGUACACUGGAACAAACUGACAGACACAGCAGCGUUCAGAUUCUCAGAUGUUUGCAGAAGGAAACCAAGUAUGGGGGCACAUUUUCAGACUCACAGCACUGGCUCCAGAUAUGUGAUAGAUGAGGAUGACCAGCUGCAUCCAGCCCUUCCACUCGUCUGUUUGUUCUCUGUUCAGCAGUUUGGUCUGUGAGGACAGUUAGAGUACAUCUUUUUAGCCAUGAGUGUCUACAUACAAAGACAUUUUGCACAAUCUGAGAAAUCUGACAAAAAAAAAAAAAGCUCCAACUCACCUCCUUACUGUUUUCGCUGUAAAAUACGCCCAGCACAAAGAUGUAGAUGAGAGGAAUGAAGAAAGCCGAAUGCGUGUAGAACUUGUGUUCUUUCAUGAACACAUCUGCUCGGUCACAAAGGUAAAAGUAGCUCAUUAUGACUCCCAUCCUGCAGAGGGCCUGAAAGGGCGCCUUUGGCCCCAGAGGGACGGCAGCGGUCGCCGGCUUCUUCUCCUCCAGGCUCUCCACGUCGGCAGGCACGGGUCGGCGAUGGCGGUUGUUGCCAAGGACGUGUAGGACUGCAAAGAUCACAGCUGAGCCCAGGAAGAAGCAGGCCGUAAGCUUCUGAAGGAAAUUUAGGGGUGGUAAAGUCUGGCAGCAGGAGCCGUCUAUGGGCCUCAGCAGCUUGUUGCACACGGAGUUCAUGAGCAGCAUGGCUCCCUGAGAGGAGACGGGCAGCAUGAGAAAUAUCCAGCAGUACCGAGUGAACGUGCAACUUCCUUUAACCUACCACUUUCCUGGUGCUCUCAGGCAAGUGCAAACCAUCUUCUGAUUGAGUGAUAGUUUCCAACGCAGCCUGCCGGGAGGCUGCCACCAGCUUGACUCCAGAUCUGCCAUUGUGCUUGGUGCCAUUGAGUACGCUCACUGCCACCUCAUUGUAGAGCUCCAGCUGUUGAUUGGUGAUCAUCUUCCUGUUCUCACUCAAAGCCUCCUCGUUAACCGGAUCUGCAGGAUUGGGAAAUGCAAAGAAAGCGGGGAAAAGUCCACUUCAGUCCGCAGGUGGUAAAGCUCACCUGAGCUCUGAUGUGACCGAAUAAAUGAACUUUGGAUAGUGAACCCUGCAGUGUUAAUAUUGACUCUUCAGCAGACCCAAAGGUAAAGUAAACCAAAGUCGGGACAUAAAUGCUGUGUAUUUCAGUGAAGAGGUACAAAAACGCCUUUGGCUUAAAUCGGGACAUUGUUGGGUAAUAUCCCUUUCAGAAAAGUGGUGUAGUGAGAGUGCGAAAGAGCAUUUUCCUGUAUUUCUUUUAAGACCCACUCUGAUGAAAAAUGGGUUUGUCAACAUGUUCUUGUAGCAUUUUUUGAAUGGACACAUAUAAAGAAAAUAAGAAUAAAAUUGUAUUUCUGAGUUUUA